UACGGAGGGUGCAAGCGUUAUCCGGAAUCACUGGGUUUAAAGGGUGCGUAGGCUGUUAGAUAAGUCAGUUGUGAAAUUCCCCGGCUUAACCGGGUGGACUGCGAUUGAUACUGUUUAACUUGAAUGAGGUUGAGGUAGGCGGAAUGUGGCAUGUAGCGGUGAAAUGCUUAGAUAUGCCAUAGAACACCGAUUGCGAAGGCAGCUUGCUGGGCCUUCAUUGACGCUGAGGCACGAAAGCGUGGGGAGCAAACAGGAUUAGAUACCCUGGUAGUCCACGCCCUAAACGAUGUUUACUUGCUGUUUGUCCUUCGGGAUGAGUGGCGAAGCGAAAGCGCUAAGUAAACCACCUGGGGAGUACGCCGGCAACGGUGAA
rnacentral:rRNA from 1 species